UGAAAUACUGUUGGGAGACAGAGCAGCGUCAGGUUCAGGUUCCAACUCCAAACCUUUGCAAGAGACCAGUCCAGCUGGGGUCUACCUGAGCUCACUGAUGUUCAGGGGUUUUCAUCCAGGUCCACACUGAACUUUCUAUCCUUAGAGAAAACUUAAGCUGCAGAAGCAUUUCUAGUUGUACCUUGUAUCACCCCUGCUCUUAGAGUCUCUUGCCUGUGACUGCUGUAUUGGCCCUGCUUAGCCUGAUGGAGUCUUUGCCUCCUCUGUGGGAGACUGAACCUGGCCUCCUGGGGUCUCAAUUCUACUUGUCCCAGGAAGGCUGAAAGAAGAAGGGCCCCAGGCUGAGGAGGACUUAACUUAAUGCCCAGGGAACACUUGGGAUGACUGAAGGCCCAGCCAUGAGUCUCCCCUUCGGCCUCAUCAUCUUUCCUGGCUUCAGUGAAUCACUUCUCAAAGAGCUCUGGGCUGUGUUCCAAUUUUGUCCUUCUGGGUUACAUGGGUUUGCCCUGCUGAGGCAGGCACUAGAGGGGCCUACUUAGUUCUGGGAGCACUUCCUGGCACUACGAAUAGUAUCUGUCAUACCUGGUCACAAGUAACUGCUCAGCCCCCACCUUCUUCUGCUGGGGUCUGUGGUCUUGUAUACAAAAAUAAGCUCUGAUGUUGAGCAGAGGUCCUAAUCACUGGAAACAGCAGAUUCUCAGCAAAAGACAACAUCUUGCCAGUCAUUUGUUUAUCUCUUCAAGCCUAAGCUGUAUGAUAUUUAAUUCCCAUCAUACAUUAAAACAGCUCACAUCAAAAAACACACAUAAUUAAUAUGUAGUCAGACUAAUACUUAAAUACUAUAUAUCAGAGGCAUUAUACUUAAACCACAAUGUCUUCCUGAACAAGACUGGGAAUGCACAAAACGACUUAUUUUUCCCUUUUAUAAUGAUGCAGUGACUCACACCAAAUAGAAAAUUAUUAGUUUUUCAUCCUAAACCAUGAAAUAUUGCCUCCAUCAGUAAAGUAUAAUAUUGUGAUGUCAUAAGCUUUUUCUAAACACCGAAUUUGCCCUUAUUCCCUCUCAAUCAUUUUAAAAGCACUGCUCUCUUUCAUAGAGCUUGGGUUUAAAUCCCAAUAACACCGAGGGAAGAUGAAUGGCAGUGCUAUUGAAUGUGGCUAAAAUUGGAUACUUCAGCACAGCUCUGAAGAGGGAAAUAAUCCCGCCCAAGGAAGCGCUGAGAAUUAAAUGCGGUGGUGUUUGAAGACUUGCAAAGCACACAUCCUGUAGCCACUGCAGGCACAGCAUCCGACAGUAAUGCGCAGCUCUGCAGCUCUGCAGCUCGCCGGCCACCACGCCCUCCACCACCAUCACAGUGAUCAGGCUGGCUACAAACGAGAUCUGCCAAUCUAUACAGAAACACAAACACUGCAUGCCCGGGCUCUCCGAGGGGCUGGAACUCCAUGCUGGGCACCCUUUGUAGAUCACAAGUUCCCAUGAACAAUCUAGCAAGCCACCCAAAGUCAUAGAGUACAAAUUAAAUUGACAAGCAAAACUAACAGAUCCAUGGAGACAGUCUAAAAUAUUAUGGGCUUCACAAUCUGAAGCAGAAUGGAUAUUUUAAUGGAGAAGAUUAAAGUUAGAGGCACCAAAUUCUUCCAGUAACUGACAAAGCAUCCUGGAGUGAUGUGCCAAUUACUUUAUAUGGUCCUCUCGUGUAUUCAUUUGUCUGAAUGCAUGUAUUUAUGUCUGUAAUAAGUAAGGAGAGGCUUGAAUAAAAUACUUUUCUAAAAAUAAA